UCAAGCUAAUAAGAGCACAGGGUGGAUGCCCAGGCACCAAACGCCGACGAAAGACGUGGCAAGCUGCGAAAAGUCACGGGGAACCGCAAGCAGGUAUUGAUCCGUGAACGUCUGAAUGGGGAAACCCGGCGGGUUAACAGCCCGUCACUAUUAACUGAAUCAAUAGGUUAAUAGGGGGAACGCGGGGAACUGAAACAUCUCAGUACCCGUAGGAAGAGAAAAUAAAGAAUGAUUUCCUAAGUAGCGGCGAGCGAACGGGAAAGAGGCCAAACCGAAGGGCUUGCUCUUCGGGGUUGUGGAUCAGCAAAAAGGACGGAAGACCUUAGCAGAAGAGGAUUGGAAAGUCCCGCCAGAGAGGGUAAAAGCCCCUUACGCGAAAAGGUCAAACGACGAGCUGACACCAGAGUACCGCAGGACACGAGAAAUCCGGUGGGAAGCCGGGAGGACCACCUCCCAAGCCUAAAUACGAAUUGGUGACCGAUAGCGCAUAGUACCGUGAGGGAAAGGUGAAAAGAACCCCGGGAGGGGAGUGAAAAAGAACCUGAAACCCUGUGUUUACAAGCAGUGAAAGUGCGAGCAAGGCACGAUCACGUACUUUUUGUAGAACGGACCGGCGAGUUACGUUAUGCAGCAAGGUUAAGAACUGAAGGUUCGGAGCCGAAGCGAAAGCGAGUCUGAAUAGGGCGAUAGUUGCAUGACGUAGACCCGAAACCGGGUGACCUAUCCAUGAGCAGGUUGAAGUGGAGGUAAAGCUCCAUGGAGGACCGAACCAGACGUCUGUUGAAAAAGGCGGGGAUGACUUGUGGAUAGGGGAGAAAUUCCAAUCGAACCCGGAGAUAGCUGGUUCUCCUCGAAAUAGCUUUAGGGCUAGCCUCAUGGAUCAUUGGUGGGGGUAGAGCACUGAAUGUGCGCGGGGGCCACAAAGCCUACCAAACGCUAUCAAACUUCGAAUACCAUACAAUGCAGACCAUGGGAGUCAGUCCGCGAGAGAUAAGUUCCGCGGGCAAAAGGGGAACACCCCAGAUCAACCGCUAAGGUCCCCAAGUUCACGUUAAGUGGAGAAGGAUGUGGAAUUGCACAGACAACCAGGAUGUUGGCUCAGAAGCAGCCACACAUUUAAAGAGUGCGUAAUAGCUCACUGGUCGAGUGAUUGUGCGCCGAAGAUGUCCGGGGCUAAACGUGACACCGAAGCGAUGGGUGCAUCUGAAGAAGAUGCGCGGUAGAGGAGCAAUGUGCAGAGGCAGAAGCCGUAUCGAGAGGCACGGUGGACACUGCACAAGAGAGAAUGCCGGUAUGAGUAGCGAGAGGCAUGCGAGAAACAUGCCCGUCGAAAGCCCAAGGUUUCCUGGGGAAGGUUCAUCCGCCCAGGGUAAGUCGGGGCCUAAGCCGAGGACGGAAGUCGUAGGCGAUGGACAGCAGGUGUAGAUUCCUGCACUACCGAUGGAAUGAAGCAGUGACACAGAAGGAUAACUCGAGCAGGGUGAUGGUCAACCCUGUGCAAGCAUCAAGGUUGGGUUGUAGUGAAGUACGCAACCCUAUAAGCUGAGAUGUGAUGCGGACCGAAAUUUCAGUAGGGAAGCGAGUGAGUUCACGCUGGCGAGAAAAGCUGCUAGUAUAUCCAAAGGUACCCGUACCGGAAACCGACGCAGGUGGGCGAGGAGAGAAUCCUGAGACGAACGGGAGAACCCUUGUUAAGGAACUCGGCAAAAUGACCCCGUAACUUCGGGAUAAGGGGUGCCUGCGAGAGCAGGCCGCAGAGAAUAGUCACAAGCGACUGUUUAGCAAAAACACAGGUAUCUGCGAAAGCGAGAGCUGACGUAUAGGUGCUGACACCUGCCCGGUGCUGGAAGGUUAAGGGAACAUGUUAGAGCAAUCGAAGCAUCGAACCGAAGCCCCAGUAAACGGCGGCCGUAACUAUAACGGUCCUAAGGUAGCGAAAUUCCUUGUCGGGUAAGUUCCGACCCG
rnacentral:rRNA from 1 species